rfam:Cephalotus follicularis DNA, scaffold: scaffold2384, isolate: St1.
ACGACAUGAUGGGGACAUUUUUGAAUAAGGUCCUUUAAUCUUUCCCAUGGCUCAUGGAACUGCUCACCAUCUUGCUGUGAAAAGCCAGUGAGAGCUCGUCUUAUUUG